rnacentral:rRNA from 1 species
UGGCGGACGGGUGAGUAAUGUCUGGGAAACUGCCUGAUGGAGGGGGAUAACUACUGGAAACGGUAGCUAAUACCGCAUAACGUCGCAAGACCAAAGAGGGGGACCUUCGGGCCUCUUGCCAUCGGAUGUGCCCAGAUGGGAUUAGCUAGUAGGUGGGGUAACGGCUCACCUAGGCGACGAUCCCUAGCUGGUCUGAGAGGAUGACCAGCCACACUGGAACUGAGCACGGUCCAG